GUGGAUUCUCAUGUGUUGUGACCGUAAAUGUCCUCUCUGUGUAAAUGAUUUCUUACAGACAGAGCAGCUGAAAGGUUUUUCUCCAGAAUGAGUUAUCAUGUGUCUCUUCAGGUU